GACAGUUUGGUCCCUAUCUGCCGUGGGCGCUGGAAGAUUGACGGGGGCUGCUCCUAGUACGAGAGGACCGGAGUGGACAUUCCGCUGGUGUACCUGUUGUUUCGCCAGAAGCAUCGCAGGGUAGCUAUGAAUGGAAGAGAUAACCGCUGAAAGCAUCUAAGCGGGAAACUUGCCUGAAGAUGAGAUCUCCCGUAGGUUUAACCUACAUAAAGGGUCGUUGAAGACCACAACGUUGAUAGGUCAGGUGUGGAAGCGCAGUAAUGCGUUAAGCUAACUGAUACUAAUUGCCCGUUAGGCUUGAUCCU
rnacentral:rRNA from 1 species